rnacentral:rRNA from 1 species
UGGAGGGGGAUAACUACUGGAAACGGUGGCUAAUACCGCAUAACGUCGCAAGACCAAAGAGGGGGACCUUCGGGCCUCUUGCCAUCAGAUGUGCCCAGAUGGGAUUAGCUUGUUGGUGAGGUAACGGCUCACCAAGGCGACGAUCCCUAGCUGGUCUGAGAGGAUGACCAGCCACACUGGAACUGAGACACGGUCCAGACUCCUACGGGAGGCAGCAGUGGGGAAUAUUGCACAAUGGGCGCAAGCCUGAUGCAGCCAUGCCGCGUGUAUGAAGAAGGCCUUCGGGUUGUAAAGUACUUUCAGCGGGGAGGAAGGUGUUGUGGUUAAUAACCGCAGCAAUUGACGUUACCCGCAGAAGAAGCACCGGCUAACUCCGUGCCAGCAGCCGCGGUAAUACGGAGGGUGCAAGCGUUAAUCGGAAUUACUGGGCGUAAAGCGCACGCAGGCGGUCUGUCAAGUCGGAUGUGAAAUCCCCGGGCUCAACCUGGGAACUGCAUUCGAAACUGGCAGGCUUGAGUCUUGUAGAGGGGGGUAGAAUUCCAGGUGUAGCGGUGAAAUGCGUAGAGAUCUGGAGGAAUACCGGUGGCGAAGGCGGCCCCCUGGACAAAGACUGACGCUCAGGUGCGAAAGCGUGGGGAGCAAACAGGAUUAGAUACCCUGGUAGUCCACGCCGUAAACGAUGUCUACUUGGAGGUUGUGCCCUUGAGGCGUGGCUUCCGGAGCUAACGCGUUAAGUAGACCGCCUGGGGAGUACGGCCGCAAGGUUAAAACUCAAAUGAAUUGACGGGGGCCCGCACAAGCGGUGGAGCAUGUGGUUUAAUUCGAUGCAACGCGAAGAACCUUACCUGGUCUUGACAUCCACAGAAGAAUCCAGAGAUGGAUUUGUGCCUUCGGGAACUGUGAGACAGGUGCUGCAUGGCUGUCGUCAGCUCGUGUUGUGAAAUGUUGGGUUAAGUCCCGCAACGAGCGCAACCC